AUGUAGUACAUAUUACACGGUUAUCGGGUGUCAAAGUCAGCGGCGCCCUUUCAAACCAUACGCCGUAUAAUUUGGGAACAUUUAAAAAUUGUUUAACUCGUAUUGUAGACGGAUUGGUUACGGUGCGCAAUAUGUCCGACUCGGCUGUUAUUUUGUAUUUUUAAUUUUCAUUUGUCGCGUUGUUCAUUAAAAUCACAGGAUUGCGUGUUAUUGUGUAAGUUAAAGGUUAUAUAAAGACGCAAAUGAGUCGUCUAUUAUCAAAGGUGGCAAUCUGUGCAUUUGGACAAAAAAAUGUUAUUGAUAUGUCAAUACAGAUUGAUUUGAAUAUAAUCGUCUCCUUCAAAGAAUACGGUUCAAAACCUGCAUUAAAUAAAGGUUAAUACUUAACCUGUUAUUUAUCUAAGAUGUCGUUCCGAAGAGUUUUGUGACUGCCAAUGGAAUACAAAGUCAAUAAUUCGUUUUUCUGAUUUACCAAUAAUUGUCCAAAAGUCACAUUGCCGGCUUUGAUAAUAGUCGACUCAAAUAUCGUAUAGCCACAAGUGGAUCAUUUUGAGAUUCAUCAUUUUUCGGAACUAGAAGAAUCCCACGAGGUACUCACAAUUGGUCCACCUUCUGUCAUACCUACACUGCAUAAUAUGUUUUACGUACUAGAAUCAAAACUAAAGGAUUAUAUCUGACAGCUUCGUUUCGGUAUCCACGUUAUGUAAGUAACUAGUCUGGCCAUAAUAAAUACUGUUACAUAAAAA